rnacentral:rRNA from 1 species
CUACUGGGGUUUCUAAUCCUGUUUGAUACCCACGCUUUCGUGCUUCAGCGUCAGUUGUACCUUAGUAAGCUGCCUUCGCAAUCGGAGUUCCUCGUGAUAUCUAUGCAUUUCACCGCUACACCACGAAUUCCGCCUACCUCAUCUACACUCAAGUUCGCCAGUUUCAACGGCAGUUUCGAGGUUGAGCCUCUAGAUUUCACCGCUGACUUAACAAACCGCCUACGCACCCUUUAAACCCAAUAAAUCCGGAUAACGCUCGCAUCCUCCGUAUUACCGCGGCUGCUGGCAC